rnacentral:rRNA from 1 species
AAUUCCAGGUGUAGCGGUGAAAUGCGUAGAGAUCUGGAGGAAUACCGGUGGCGAAGGCGGCCCCCUGGACAAAGACUGACGCUCAGGUGCGAAAGCGUGGGGAGCAAACAGGAUUAGAUACCCUGGUAGUCCACGCUGUAAACGAUGUCGACUUGGAGGUUGUUCCCUUGAGGAGUGGCUUCCGGAGCUAACGCGUUAAGUCGACCGCCUGGGGAGUACGGCCGCAAGGUUAAAACUCAAAUGAAUUGACGGGGGCCCGCACAAGCGGUGGAGCAUGUGGUUUAAUUCGAUGCAACGCGAAGAACCUUACCUACUCUUGACAUCCAGAGAACUUAGCAGAGAUGCUUUGGUGCCUUCGGGAACUCUGAGACAGGUGCUGCAUGGCUGUCGUCAGCUCGUGUUGUGAAAUGUUGGGUUAAGUCCCGCAACGAGCGCAACCCUUAUCCUUUGUUGCCAGCGAUU